GGUGACCAGUGUGUGUACUCUGUGUGUUCAUCAUCGUCUCCACACUCUGGACAUGUUUGAAGAUCGUAAGAAGCCGUGAGAACGGAAACACAGGAGACGUCACGCUGUACCCAGAACAAGAACAGCCAACGAUACGAUGCUGCUUCAUCACACACCAGUGUAAAGGCUGUAAUCCUCCUCUUCUGCUUUAUUGUCCUAAGGACGGACGGACGGACGGACGGACAGACAGCUGCUUUUAGUUUCUGUCGUGAGAUAAAGAGGUCAUGACAAACAUCUCCUAACACCAUGAUGUUCGUAUCAGAGUCUCGGUGUGAAGGUCUGGAUCCAGAGAACUUCUCCUGUAUCUUCUGACGUCACUGAGCGUAAAGUUUGUUCUCCUGCACUGCGCUGUUAUUAUCGCUACAGCAGAACAUCCUGUUUAUGGAGCUUUAUUUGUACAGAAUGUGGUUUUACUGCUAUAAUUUUACGAGACUGUGUUAUUGUUCUGAUAACUGAUGGAUUAAAAGCAGUUUUUUCCAGCAGA